UACGGGGGGGCAAGCGUUGUUCGGAAUUACUGGGCGUAAAGGGCUCGUAGGCGGCCAACUAAGUCGGACGUGAAAUCCCUCGGCUUAACCGGGGAACUGCGUCCGAUACUGGAUGGCUCGAGUGUGGGAGAGGGAUGCGGAAUUCCAGGUGUAGCGGUGAAAUGCGUAGAUAUCUGGAGGAACACCAAUGGCGAAGGCAGCUCGCUGGGACGGUACUGACGCUGAGACGUGAAAGCGUGGGGAGCAAACAGG
rnacentral:rRNA from 1 species